GGCGGUCUCUAAUCCCAUGAACCAUUGACCAACCAUGCUUUGAGACAAAACACUGUGGAAACUGGAGUGAAGGAUCUUCCUGCCUUCCUGGGAGAGGAGACGAGGAGCGGCAUGAAGAGUGAUCACGGAUUAAACGGACAAUUAUAUUAGACCCAGAUCAUUGCAGAUGGACACCACACACCAGACUGAGGCUAUAUUGCACCUGUUCCAGAGAGCUGACUUGAUGAAGCAAUCGUCAAGAUACGGGAAGAUCUGGACCCCCCAACAUCUUAGCCUGGCAUCUGUCUGAUCCGAGAACAGACCAACUCCAUCAAAAGGGAGGUCCUGGAUUGUGGCCUGCAUCUCCUGGGAGAGGCCUGCUGCCCGGAGCCAGGAGCUGCAUCACAUGAUCACCACUGUUGCGACCACCCUUGCCAUUGAGUCCGAAUGUCCCAUGCCAUCUGCAGGGAACAUCUGGCCACCACAGAACCCUCCUCCACCAGAGUGCCAAACUCUUGGGCCAAACCCUAAGGGAGAGAUUCCUGGAACUUGUUGAGACUGUCCCAGAGAUUAAAAUUGUACUGGCCCUCAGGGCCUGUUGGUUCACCACCUGAAAUUGCAGGCUAGCGA